UGCAAGCGUUAUCCGGAUUCACUGGGUUUAAAGGGUGCGUAGGCGGAUCGGUAAGUCCGUGGGGAAAUCCUGCAGCUUAACUGCAGAACUGCCGUGGAUACUAUCUAUCUUGAAUGUCGUGGAGGUUAGCGGAAUAUGUCAUGUAGCGGUGAAAUGCUUAGAUAUGACAUAGAACACCCAUUGCGAAGGCAGCUAACUACGCGAUAAUUGACGCUGAUGCACGAAAGCGUGGGGAUCAAACAGG
rnacentral:rRNA from 1 species